CCCGUCACCCUUUACCUCCCAGUCCAGCCUAAUUUCAGGUCCCCGAGAAGGUACCAGACAUCCCCAGAUAUCGGACUCACCAACUCAGAGGUCUCCGUCGUUACCUUACUUUGGCUUCCCAGGUCCUGCUCUCCUCCAUCCAGGUAUCUCUGCCUCUUUCUCUCCUCAAUGUCUCAUUCUUCCCUCCCUGGGCUUGUUGCCAAGGUAAGUUA